CGGCAAAAGCUCAAAUUUGAAAUCUGGCCUCCUAUGGGGGUCCGAGUUGUAAUUUGCAGAGGGCGCUUUGGCGAUGGCAGCGGUCUAAGUUCCUUGGAACAGGACGUCACAGAGGGUGAGAAUCCCGU
rnacentral:rRNA from 1 species